CAUGCAAGUCGAACGGUAACAGGUCUUCGGAUGCUGACGAGUGGCGCACGGGUGAGUAACGCGUGGAUAUCUGCCUAUUAGUGGGGGACAACUUGUGGAAACGCAAGCUAAUACCGCAUAAUCCCUACGGGGGAAAGCAGGGGACCUUCGGGCCUUGUGCUGAUAGAUGAGUCCGCGUCUGAUUAGCUAGUUGGUAGGGUAAAGGCCUACCAAGGCGAUGAUCAGUAUCUGGUUUGAGAGGAUGAUCAGACACACUGGAACUGAGACACGGUCCAGACUUCUACGGAAGGCAGCAGUGGGGAAUAUUGCACAAUGGGCGCAAGCCUGAUGCAGCGACGCCGCGUGUGGGAAGAAGGCUUUAGGGUUGUAAACCACUUUCAAUUGGGAAGAAGAGAUGAGAGUUAAUAACUUUCUGAUUUGACGGUACCUUUAGAAGAAGCACCGGCUAAUUUCGUGCCAGCAGCCGCGGUAAUACGAAAGGUGCAAGCGUUGUUCGGAUUUACUGGGCGUAAAGAGAGUGUAGGUUGUUUAUUAAGUCGGAUGUGAAAUCCCGGGGCUCAACCUCGGAACUGCAUUCGAUACUGGUAGACUAGAGUUCGGGAGGGGUAAGCGGAAUUCCGUGUGUAGCAGUGAAAUGCGUAGAUAUACGGAGGAACACCUGAGGCGAAGGCGGCUUACUGGACCGAUACUGACACUGAGACUCGAAAGCGUGGGUAGCAAACAGGAUUAGAUACCCUGGUAGUCCACGCCCUAAACGAUGUCAACUAGCCGUUGCGGGUAUCGACCCCUGCAGUGGCGAAGCUAACGCGAUAAGUUGACCGCCUGGGGAGUAC
rnacentral:rRNA from 1 species